rnacentral:rRNA from 1 species
GAUGAACGCUGGCGGCGUGCCUAAUACAUGCAAGUCGAGCGAACAGACGAGGAGCUUGCUCCUCUGACGUUAGCGGCGGACGGGUGAGUAACACGUGGAUAACCUACCUAUAAGACUGGGAUAACUUCGGGAAACCGGAGCUAAUACCGGAUAAUAUAUUGAACCGCAUGGUUCAAUAGUGAAAGACGGUUUUGCUGUCACUUAUAGAUGGAUCCGCGCCGCAUUAGCUAGUUGGUAAGGUAACGGCUUACCAAGGCAACGAUGCGUAGCCGACCUGAGAGGGGGAACGGCCACACUGGAACGGAAACACGGUCCAGACUCCUACGGGAGGCAGCAGUAGGGAAUCUUCCGCAAUGGGCGAAAGCCUGACGGAGCAACGCCGCGGGAGUGAUGAAGGUCUUCGGAUCGUAAAACUCUGUUAUUAGGGAAGAACAAAUGUGUAAGUAACUAUGCACGUCUUGACGGUACCUAAUCAGAAAGCCACGGCUAACUACGUG